ACAGGAAGUGAACCUAACAUUGGAUUUGGACGUGCCUUGAAAUGUGUCCUCUGAAGGCAGCAUUUUCCAUUUUUCGGACGCCAGCCAUCUGGAUAAUUCCUAGAGACUGAUUUGAUUUGGCCACUGCUCUUUUUUUAGGGUUUUCUCAGGCCAGCAGAGAGUUUCAGAUUAGAACAUCUGGAGUUUCAUGUUGAAACGGCAUCAUUCUCCCACCGAGACCCGAGUGAAACCAUUAGGCCAAUGAAGACAGAAGAGCAAGUUUGACUGCGUCGACACACACUGUGUUCCGAAGGAGGAAAGAGGAUGAGUGAGCACAGACAUGAACAAGUGACAGAUCUGGGGACAGACAGACUCAGUCCCAGAGUAGAGAAAGAGAUCUGACAAUGAUAAUCAGGUCAGUGUGCCGGCUGGGACGCGUUCCACUCCAUCCGUCCCCUGAGAACCAAUCAUUGGUUUGUUGCCUCUCUGUGGAUACAGAAGAGAGAGAGAGAGACCAGCGACUUCUGUCUGCAGCAAUCUGUUACUUUGGGUGGAUUAUUUCUAAUGCUGACAAGCAGCUCCCCACAGUAUUUGCUCCAAAU